UACGUAGGGGGCAAGCGUUGUCCGGAAUCAUUGGGCGUAAAGCGCGUGUAGGCGGCCCGGUAAGUCCGCUGUGAAAGUCGGGGGCUCAACCCUCGAAUGCCGGUGGAUACUGUCGGGCUAGAGUGCGGAAGAGGCGAGUGGAAUUCCUGAUGUAGCGGUGAAAUGCGCAGAUAUCAGGAGGAACACCAAUUGCGAAGGCAGCUCGCUGGGACGUGACUGACGCUGAGACGCGAAAGCGUGGGGAGCAAACAGG
rnacentral:rRNA from 1 species